rnacentral:rRNA from 1 species
GUGAGGAAUAUUGGUCAAUGGACGAGAGUCUGAACCAGCCAAGUCGCGUGAAGGAAGACGGUUCUAUGAAUUGUAAACUUCUUUUGUGCAGGAAUAAAGUGGGUUACGUGUAACCUUUUGUAUGUACUGUACGAAUAAGGAUCGGCUAACUCCGUGCCAGCAGCCGCGGUAAUACGGAGGAUCCGAGCGUUAUCCGGAUUUAUUGGGUUUAAAGGGUGCGUAGGUGGAUUGAUAAGUCAGCGGUGAAAGUUUGCAGCUUAACUGUAAAAUUGCCGUUGAAACUGUCGGUCUUGAGUGCAAAUGAGGUAGGCGGAAUGUGUUGUGUAGCGGUGAAAUGCUUAGAUAUAACACAGAACUCCGAUUGCGAAGGCAGCUUACUGGGAUGCAACUGACACUAAUGCACGAAAGCGUGGGUAUCAAACAGGAUUAGAUACCCCUGUAGUCC